GAGGUUGUGGACUUUCAUAGUCAGAGUCUC
rnacentral:piRNA from 1 species